GUAUUUGAUACUUAAAUCAUGUUGCUAAAGCCUUGAGGAGAAAUUCAACGGAAAAAUGUACAGACUUCCCAUAGUAUUAAUAGCACACCAAUAAUAAAUAAGAUAUAUUGUUAUCAGUUCUCAUGAGGACCAUCAUAAAGUGUACUGACUCAACAUUAUUAUUUUCCAAAUUUCAAAGCAUCCUCUUUUAAUAAUAUUAAACAAUUGAUACCUAACAAUAAAUGAUAAUGGAGAAAAAAAAAACAGAGCAAAUUCAGAUUUAAAAAAAAACAAACAUUCCUCUCUCUCUCUCACAACCGCGCCUCUCUUUCUCGUUCCCUGUUAUUUCAUCUUUUCUUUUUCUCUUUUCUAACACCAACCUCAAUAUUGAAGC
rnacentral:lncRNA from 1 species